rnacentral:rRNA from 1 species
ACGGGUAGCCGGCCUGAGAGGGUGACCGGCCACACUGGGACUGAGACACGGCCCAGACUCCUACGGGAGGCAGCAGUGGGGAAUAUUGCACAAUGGGCGAAAGCCUGAUGCAGCAACGCCGCGUGAGGGACGACGGCCUUCGGGUUGUAAACCUCUUUUAGCAGGGAAGAAGCGAAAGUGACGGUACCUGCAGAAAAAGCACCGGCUAACUACGUGCCAGCAGCCGCGGUAAUACGUAGGGUGCAAGCGUUAUCCGGAAUUAUUGGGCGUAAAGAGCUCGUAGGCGGUUUGUCGCGUCUGCUGUGAAAUCUGGGGGCUCAACCCCCAGCCUGCAGUGGGUACGGGCAGACUAGAGUGCGGUAGGGGAGAUUGGAAUUCCUGGUGUAGCGGUGGAAUGCGCAGAUAUCAGGAGGAACACCGAUGGCGAAGGCAGAUCUCUGGGCCGUAACUGACGCUGAGGAGCGAAAGGGUGGGGAGCAA